CACGCUGGACGGGGGGCGGGGCCAACUCUGCAGCGUGGGAGGCGGGGCCAGGGCAUGCUGGGCGGGGCCAGGGCGUGGGAGGCGGGGCCGGUGGCGGGGGCGCUUUUUAGCACCCCCGCUUAACAUUUAAAAAUAUCUCCGGCCGGCCCUGGCUUGGAUUGUAUUUUGAAGCUCAUGCUACCUUGUUUUCCAGGACUGAUAUGCUAGACUUUGAGCUAUUUUCUACAAAGACUUUGAAGUGUAUUCUGCAGAUUGCAUUUGCAAUUGGAUUACUGCUUUCUUUACUGCUUUUUAUUAAGAUUUUGCUAUCUUUUAUCAACAAACUGAAAAAACCAACUCUGCUGUCGUGGAGUGUGCUAAGAGCAAGGUGAACCAGUGCUGAGGUGCAACAGCUCCCAGGAUCCUAUAGCACUCAGCCAAGGCAAUUAAAGUGGUGUCAAACUGCAUUAAUUUGGCAGUGUAAAUGCAGACUGGAAGUGAUGCUUCGCUUAAGGCCAUUGUAAGCUUUUACAGACACAGCCGAUUUCCCAGGCUUGAGUGUAAUUAACAAGUUAUACAUGUUGUGAGCAGAAAAACUAUCUCUCUCUUUACUUCUUACCUUUUCCUGUAAUAUACUUUAAUAUCCAUUAGAAAAAACAUGGGAAGAACAAUACUCAGAUUUGCACUUUUUUUUUGCUUUUUUUUUUUGCUUUUUUUUUGUUUUGUAUAUGUAUAAUGUAUUUGUCAUGCCCUUUGGGUUGCAUGUUAAACUCACUCAAUUAAUCCACAAAUUGCAAUUUGAGAAGAAGAAAUCCUAGCAUGUCUGCAUCAAAGCCUAAUUGUCAGCCCUGCAAAACAUAUGGGGGAAAGGCAUCAUUUGAUGCACUUAAAAGGAAUGUAGGAUUACAGUUUAUCAUAAAUUACCCCCUCCUCCUUUUCUCCAAAAUAAUAUACAACAUUUUGUGAAACUAAUUAAUGCCUAAUUAUUUAAUCUGGUAUGGCAAACACAGCAACCGAAGGCAUGAAAUCCCCGUCGGAUUUAAAACGGCCGAUUUUCUUGUCAUCAUUUUAAGAAUGAAAUGUUAAUAUGGUUCCCUUUGCACAUCAAGAAAUGCUCCCAGGAGAUUGGCCCAGACUGGUUGCAGUUCUUAGAAGCCAAGGAAGAGAGAGUUUAAAUCUCUCUGGAUUAACUAUUUAAAGCGGGGAAAUUAUAAAAUAGGAGCAAGCCCAUUGGAUCAGAUGAAUUAAAUGAGAGAGUAAAUUGGAGAUCAAAGAUAUCCAGGGCUGAUUUAUCUAGAUGUAAGAGCAGGGCAGCUGCCCUUGGCUGGAUGCUGAGAGAUCCCCUGAGUAUUUCCAGAUGUCCUUUGGAAGACAAGCCAUGAUGGAUUGAGGGCUCUAAUGCUAACUGGGAGCCCAGCUGCUACGCUCCUUGUCAUUAAUUGCCAUCAAGUCAACGUUGACUUAUGGCAACUCCAUGAACAAGAGACCUCCAAUCUCCCUGUCCUCAACCCAUGCCUUGUAGACCAGGCAUGGGCAAACUUUGGCCCUCCGGGUGUUUUGGACUUCAACUCCCACAAUCCCUAACAGCCUCAUAAAUUGGUUAUCAGAUUGGUUAUCAUAAAUCAGAACCAAAAUAAUGUAUUCUAAGAAUCCUACUGCUUGACUAAAGUAGACUCAUUGGAUCAGUUCUACUUAGUGUUGAUGCACCAUUCAACAAUUGAUCCAUUGUUCUAAGAUGAAUCACCUAUGUCAGUAGGAACUAGAGAUGUCUAACCUUGAGAAGAUUAAAGGAGAACAUACAGUAGAGUCUCACUUAUCCAACAUUCUGGAUUAUCCAACACAUUUUUGCAGUCAAUGUUUUCAAUAUAUCAUGAUAUUUUGGUGCUAAAUUCGUAAAUACAGUAAUUACAACAUAACAUUACUGCGUAUUGAACUGCUUUUUCUGUCAAAUUUGUUGUAUAACAUAAUGUUUUGGUGCUUAAUUUGUAAAAUCAAAACUAAUUUGAUGUUUAAUAGGCUUUUCCUUAAUCCCUCCUUAUUAUCCAACAUAUUUGCUUAUCCAAUGUUCUGCCGGUCCAUUUAUGUUGGAUAAGUGAAACUCUACUGUAUUUCUUAUUGUUGUGUGCCUUCAAAUCAUUUCUGACCUAUGGUGACCCACAGGUUUUUAUUUUUUUGGAAGAUUAGUUCAGAGAGGAUUUGGUUUUGCUUUCUUCUGAGGCUGAGAGAGUAUGACUUGUUUCAGGUGAACCAGUGAGUUUAAUGGCCGAGUAGAGAUUUGAAUCCUAUUCGCUAGAGCCAGGCUAUGGCGCAGCUGGUUAGUAGCCAGCUGCAAUAAAUUACUAUUGACCGAGAGGUCACAAGAUCGAAGUCAGGUUGGAUUGAGCCCACAACUAUUAAUAGCCUAGCUCGCUGUUGACCAAAGCAGCUCAAAAGACAGUUGCAUCUGUUGAGUAGAAAAAUUAGGUACCGCUUUAUGUGGGGAGGCUAAUUUAGCUAAUUUAGGUAAAGGUUUUCCCUGACGUUAAGUCCAGUCAUGUCUGACUCUGGGGGUUGGUGCUCAUCUCCAUUUCUAAGCCGAAGAACCGGCAUUGUCCGUAGACACCUCCAAGGUCAUGUGGCCGACAUGAUUGCAUGGAGCGCUGUUACCUUCCUGCUGGAGCAGUACCUAUUGAUCUACUCACAUUGGCAUGUUUUCAAACUGCUAGGUUGGCAGAAGCUGGAGCUUACUGUGGGUGCUCACUCUGCUCCCUGGAUUUGAACCUGGGACCUUUCGGUCUGCAAAUUCAGCAGCUCAAUGCUUUAACACACUUCACCACCGGGGCUCCUUUAGCUAAUUUACGACACCAUAAAAACUUCCAACAGCGUGUGGAAAGGAAUGAGGAAGUACUAGCAUCAAGGACUCAGUGUCACAAGUGGAUGAUGAAGUGGCAGCUCCCGCUGUGGCCGGAAUCAAGCAUACCCUCAUGAAGCCAGAAGCUGGAAAAUGUUAAAUUGCCUCUGUGUCUGUCUAUAUGUCGUAUGUCUAAUGGCACUGAAUGUUUGCCAUGUAUAUGUGCAUUGUAAUCUGCCCUGAGUCCCCUUUGAGGUGUAAAUAAAAUAAAUAAUAAAUAGAGAUGUGGCACAAAGCUCAAACUGCUGCACCAUCUUGAUUCUCAAGCUGGGUUCUACACUUUCAGAAUGCAAAAUUGACUGCAUCGAACUGGAUUAUAUGGCAGUCUAGGCUCAUAUAAUCCAAAUCAAAGCAUAUAACCUGUGGCGCAACUGGCUAGUAACCAGCUGCAAUAAAUCACUACUGACUGAGAGGUCAUGAGUUCAAAGCCCGGGUUGGGUUAAGCCCCCGACCAUUAAAUAGCCCGGCUUGCUGUUGACCUAUGCAGCCCCGAAAGACAGUUGCAUCUGUCAAGUAGGGAAAUUUAGGUACGCUUUAUGCGGGAGGCUAAUUUAACUAAUUUACAACACCAUAAAACUGCCAGCAAAACACGAGGAAAGGAAUGAGGAAUUACAGCCACUAGUGGACAGUGAAGCAACAGCUCCCCCUGUGGCCGGAAUCGUGAAGCUGGAAAAAUGUUAAAUGCCUCUGUGUCUGUCUCUACUGUAUGUUGUUUGUCUGUUGGCAUUGAAUGUUUGCCAUAUAUGUGUUCAUUGUAAUCCGCCCUGAGUCCCCUUCGGGGUGAGAAGGGCGGAAUAUAAAUACAGUAAAUAAUAAUAAUAAUAAUAAUAAUAAUAAUAAUAAUAAUAAUAAUAAUAAUAACUGCAUUAUAUGGCAGUGUAGAUACAGUCCCAGAGGACAUAUCAGCACUUCUCAAAAAAUCUGAAUGUUACACAAAUGGGGAAGGUACAAGUGCAUUUAUCUCUGCUGUCAAUUGGGAAGAAAUGAUUGUUUCAACAUGAAAUGAAUGCCAAGAACAGAGUAAUAAUCCACCCAAUAUUUGGGUGGAUGGAAUGAAUAUUUCUUUCUGGGAGUCUUCAAAUCAUGUAUGAAAACGACCAAACAACCAUGACAUGAUGAUGGGGAUCCCAGAGCUUUAAACCCAGCAAAUACUGAUUCCACAACACUGCUGUCAAAUCCCCCAAUAAAAUAGAAGGGAACACUCCCGACCCUUCAUUGCCUUUUAUAUCUGAUUUGACCUGAUUUAAUGGCAGAUGCCAUCUCCGUGCCCAGUAACAGGAAGCUAUUUAUUUCAAAUUGCCCCAAACCAAAUUAUAGCUUUCCUUUCCCAGCAGAAUGAUGUAAUUUUAGCUUGCUGCCUUCUUUUUCAAUAAACUGCAGUUGCUAUGGAGACCCUCGCUGGGUCAUCUUUCCCCCUUGCAGAUCUCCAGCACAAGCAAUUGCUUUGGUGGUGGUGAUGGUGGUCUUCUCUCAUGACUGAUUGUUCUUGUGUGCAGCAACAAUGUGCAAAAAAGCAGUUCAUUUAACAGUUAAUGUCGAUUCUACCAAAAGUGGGUUGCAGCUGUGACAACAGAAUAACGUGAAGAUAAAGAUGCCUAGAUUGGAAUAGAAGGAUGGAAUCCUUCCUUCUUCAUAUGUUUUACAUUGGCUCCACUAAUAGUUGGGAGAAACCACAAAGGCCAUCCAGUCCAACCCCAUUCUGCCAUGCAGAAAGACACAACCAGAGCACUCCUGGCAGAUGUCCAUCCAGCCUCUGUUCGAAAAGCUCCAAAGAAGGAGACUCCAUCAUACUCCCAGGCAGCAUAUUUUACCGUCCAACAACGUUUACCAUCAGGAAGGUCUUCCUAAUGUUUAGAUCAGUGAUUCUCAACCUGGGCCCCCAGAUGUUUUUGAGCUACAACUCCCAGAAAUCUCAGCCAGUUUACCAGCUGGGAGUUGAAGGCCAAAAACAUCUGGGGACCCCAGGCUGAGAACCACUGGUUUAGGUGGAUUCUCUUUUCCUGCAUUGCUCUGUGUUUCAGGGUGUAUCUCUACUGUAGAAUUAAUGCAGUUUUGCACCACUUUAACUACUAUGUCUCAUCAGAGUUGUAGUUUUACAUGAUUUUUGCUAAAGAGUGCUGGUACUCACCAAACUACAAUUCUCACAAUUUCAUGGUAAUUAAAGUGGUGUUAAACUGCAUUAAUUCCAUAGUGUAUGUGCUGGUAUGGCUGUACCGGAAGCUCCAACUUUAUUUUCUUUCUGCUAAUGUUUGCAGUCAUAGGGCAGGGUGCCUGUCCAUCAUCAUUAAGUUUGGUUCCGCCCCUUGUUCAGGGCUCUGGGAGGGAAGGAGCCAUUUUUAAGUCAGUCUCACUUAAGGAAGCUAAGCUAUAGGAUGUAGACCAGCUCGUCCCAAAGAAAAGCUUCAUAUCUCAAGAACAUCCGGGGAUAUAGAACAUCCAAGGAAUCAUAAACAGAAAUUCCAGGGGAAAGGUCCCAAAGGUUCUGGCUCAGAGCUCACAGCCUCUCAGCCUCACAGCUCAUGAGGGAAACAGCCCUAAAGUUUCCAAAGAAACCUUGGAGAGGGAACAGCACCACAGAUCCACGGAACCCCAGCUGAAACAUCUGCAAGUCUUGGUUGGUAGGUCCACUCGAUACCCAGACGCAUUUGGAAUCGGUAGUGGGUCCCACAUCAGCUAGGCCCAUAUAAUAGACAGCCUGGGAGAGGUUAUAAGGGGGUUUUAGAGAAAGAACAGUUAUCCAAAGCCAAUUGUUUGUCCUCUGGGGACAAGACUGAAAAGGCCAACAGUUUAUUAAGGAAACCUUGAAGUGUUAUUUGACUCCUUGAGGAUUUAUUAUUUGUUCAAUAAUAAAGACCUUGCUAUCUCAUUAAAGACUCAAAGGACUAUCCUUUUCAGGAAAAUCCUCAAGAACCUCUCUUUGAGGCACCCUGGCUUCCCGCUGGGCAUAAAGUAUACGUCCAAUACAAAGACAAUAGUUACAGGCCCAGCGUGUGACAGAACAGUGUAGAUGCUCCCCAAUCUAGUGCAAUAGAAAACAAACUUGGCCCCUCCAUAAUAUGACAUCUUUUCAGAUAUUGAAGCAUGGCUGUCAUGCCCCCUCUUAACCUUCUCUCCAGAAUAAACAGCUCCUGAAACUUUUACCAGCAUGAAGCUCUUCCUGACAUUCAGGUGGAAUUCCUUUUCCUGAAGUCCCACUUGGGAGUUAUCUAGAGGACAGGAAAAGGUAGCUAGCACUUAGCAUCCUCAAACAGCCUCUAGGUUUCCCAAGAUUGUUGCAGUGAUGCAUGCCCUGAGACCUUGUGUCAGGAACUUGGUCUAAAAUACCAUUUUGCAGUAAUUUCUCAUAGAAUCAUAGGGUUGGAAGAGGCACACUAAGCCACUAAGCAAUGCUCUCUGGACCAUGCUCCUGAAAAUGGGAUGCCUUGAUAAAUUUGUGAACAUCCUGCGGCUCCUGCACGAUGACAUGAUGGCAACAGUCUUCGACAGCAGUGGCUCCCAAAGUGACCCAUUUAAGGUGUAAUCAAGUGUCAAACCAGGAUGUAUUAUUGCCCCAACCUUAUUCUCCAUCUUCAUUGCUAUGAUUCCACACCUUGCUGACAGGAAGCUUCCCACCAGUGUAGAAAUCACCUAUUGGACAGAUGGCAAGCAAUUUAACCUCUGUAGACUAAAAGCCAAAAUCAAUGUGUGUUAUAGAACUCCAAUAUGCUGAUGAUAAUGUAGUCUAUGUUGGUGUAUUUUUGGGUGUAAGAGUGAAAUGAUGAAUCAAGUGUUUUUACUGUUGAAGGUUUGCAACUGUGUAUUCCGGACAUGCUUUCCAGCAGCACAAGUGUUAACGGCAGGCCAGUUUGAGUGAUAGCCUGCCGAGCCAAUAGGUCGUGACUUCCAGAGGACGUUCGUCAUUCUGCUGUGGAAUGUGCAGUUGUCGACACUGAGCUUUGCUGAUCGACAAAGAGUGAGGACGUGCUUUGCUUUGCUUAGGAAAACAUGUGUCCUAUGAGGGAUAGGCUUUGUAACUUGUAAAUAGUUUGUAUAUAUAAUAAAGUCUUAGAACCGGUUGAUUAACGACUGUGGUGUCGUUUUGUCGGUGCUGCUUAUCCGGACAGGCAAGCAGUCUGACUGAGGAUGCUUUGGUGAGAGGCCUGGAUCACCAAUAAAUCAGGGGGGUGCAGAGCUGAUUUAAGCACCCCCUGUCAGUCUGUGCUCAUUCAGAACAAGGCUUGCAAGCCACUCUAAACACCUUUGCAGAAGUAUACAAAAAUCUUGGCCUCUCAUUGAACAUCAAGAAAAGCUGCUCUUCCACCUGUCGUCAGCCAAUCCCUUUGCAAUGCCAGAAAUACAGCUUAAUGGUGUAACAUCAGAAAAUGUUGACCAUUUCUUCUACCUUGGCAGCUGUGGGGAUUUGUAAAAGGCACCAUGAUGAAAUGGGUUGACUGGAAAGACAUGUGUCAGCAGCUGAUUGGAUAAGCGUGACAGGAGCCAACAUUCUGAUUGGCUACUGUCUCUGGUGUACUGAUGAGAGAAAUGGUUUGAGUGGGCACUUUCACCUCAGGGAGCAAAGAGAUAACAGCUAGGGAAUUAAUGGCUGCCGACUCUCUGAAGCCUGAUCAAUUUUAAAGCAACGAGGCAUAUUUAAAGACUGUUUUAAAAGGACUGUUUGUUCCCUCUGUUCUCUGUAAGAAAUCAGAGAGACUACUGUAUAUAUUGUUGCUCUGUUUGACCUAUUGAACUGAAAUAAAGUUACUGUUACUUAUUUCACAA